rnacentral:rRNA from 1 species
AAUGAACGUUGGCGGCGUGGAUUAGGCAUGCAAGUCGAACGAGAUCUGUAGCAAUACAGUGUAAGUGGCGAAAGGGAGAGUAAUACGUAGGUACCUGCCCUCGGGUCUGGGAUAGCUGCGGGAAACUGCAAUUAAUACCGGAUGAUGUCUCUGGACCAAAGGUGUGAUUCCGCCAGGGGAUGGGCCUGCGUCCUAUCAGCUUGUUGGUGUGGUAACGGCGCACCAAGGCUAAGACGGGUACGGGGUGUGAGAGCAUGCCCCCGCUCACUGGGACUGAGAUACUGCCCAGACACCUACGGGUGGCUGCAGUCGAGAAUCUUCUGCAAUGGGCGCAAGCCUGACGGAGCGACGCCGCGUGUGGGAUGAAGGCCUUCGGGUUGUAAACCACUGUCAGUGGGGAGCAAAUGCAUCAGGGUUCUCCCUGGUGUUUGAGCGAUCCGCAGAGGAAGCACAGGCUAAUUCCGUGCCAGCAGCAGCCGCGG